rnacentral:rRNA from 1 species
GAUGAACGCUGGCGGCGUGCCUAAUACAUGCAAGUCGAGCGAACGGACGAGAAGCUUGCUUCUCUGAUGUUAGCGGCGGACGGGUGAGUAACACGUGGAUAACCUACCUAUAAGACUGGGAUAACUUCGGGAAACCGGAGCUAAUACCGGAUAAUAUUUUUAACCGCAUGGUUCAAAAGUGAAAGACGGUCUUGCUGUCACUUAUAGAUGGAUCCGCGCUGCAUUAGCUAGUUGGUAAGGUAACGGCUUACCAAGGCAACGAUGCAUAGCCGACCUGAGAGGGUGAUCGGCCACACUGGAACUGAGACACGGUCCAGACUACUACGGGAGGCAGCAGUAGGGAAUCUUCCGCAAUGGGCGAAAGCCUGACGGAGCAACGCCGCGUGAGUGAUGAAGGUCUUCGGAUCGUAAAACUCUGUUAUUAGGGAAGAACAUAUGUGUAAGUAACUGUGCACAUCUUGAAGGUACCUAAUCAGAAAGCCACGGCUAACUACGUG